GACGAACUGUCCUAACGUUGUUCGGAAUCACUGGGCUUAAAGGGCGCGUAGGCGGUCCGACAAGUCAGGGGGGAAAUCCUGCAGCUUAACUGCAGAAGUGCCUUUGAUACUGUCGGUCUUGAGGGAGAUAGGGGUGUGCGGAACUCACAGUGGAGCGGUGAAAUGCGUUGAUAUUGUGAGGAACGCCGGAGGCGAAAGCGGCGCACUGGAUCUCUUCUGACGCUGAGGCGCGAAAGCUAGGGGAGCAAACGGG
rnacentral:rRNA from 1 species